rnacentral:tRNA from 1 species
GGCGGAUGUAGCCAAGUGGAUAAAGGCAGUGGAUUGUGAAUCCACCAUGCGCGA